GACGAACGCUGGCGGCGUGCUUAACACAUGCAAGUCGAACGGAAAGGCCCUGCUUUUGUUGGGUGCUCGAGUGGCGAACGGGUGAGUAACACGUGAGUAACCUGCCCUUGACUUUGGGAUAACUUCAGGAAACUGGGGCUAAUACCGGAUAGGAGCUCCUGCUGCAUGGUGGGGGUUGGAAAGUUUCGGCGGUUGGGGAUGGACUCGAGGCUUAUCAGCUUGUUGGUGGGGUAGUGGCUUACCAAGGCUUUGACGGGUAGCCGGCCUGAGAGGGUGACCGGCCACAUUGGGCCUGAGAUACGGACCAGACUCCUAUGGGAGGCAGCAGUGGGGAAUAUUGCACAAUGGGCGGACGCCUGAUGCAGCAACGCCGCGUGCGGGAUGACGGCCUUCGGGUUGUAAACAGCUUUCGCAUGUGACGAAGAGUGAGUGACGGUAAUGGGUAAAGAAGCACCGGCUAACUACGUG
rnacentral:rRNA from 1 species